GGAAACGACUGCUAAUACCCGAUGAGCCGAUGGGUAAAAAAUUAAUUGCCAAGAGAAGAGCUCGCGCCUGAUUAGCUAGAUGGUGGGGUAAAAGCCUACCAUGGCAACGAUCAGUAGCUGGUCUGAGAGGAUGAGCAGCCACACUGGGACUGAGACACGGCCCAGACUCCUACGGGAGGCAGCAGUGGGGAAUUUUCCGCAAUGGGCGAAAGCCUGGCGGAGCAAUACCGCGUGAGGGAGGAAGGUCUUUGGAUUGUAAACCUCAAAACUUAGGGAAGAAGAAAGUGACGGUACCUAAUAUAAGCAUCGGCUAACUCCGUGCCAGCAGCCGCGGUAAUACGGAGGAUGCAAGCGUUAUCCGGAAUCAUUGGGCGUAAAGAGUCUGUAGGUGGCACUUCAAGUCUGCUGUCAAAGACCGAAGCUUAACUUCGGAAAGGCGGUGGAAACUGAAGAGCUAGAGUAAAGCAGGGGUAGAGGGAAUUCCCAGUGUAGCGGUGAAAUGCGUAGAGAUUGGGAAGAACACCAGUGGCGAAGGCGCUCUACUGGGCUAAAACUGACACUGAGAGACGAAAGCUAGGGUAGCGAAAGGGAUUAGAUACCC
rnacentral:rRNA from 1 species